rnacentral:rRNA from 1 species
CCCUUAGAUGUUCUGGGCCGCACGCGUGCUACACUGAUGCAUUCAACGAGUCUAAAACCUGGUCUGAUAGGGCUGGGUAAUCUUUUGAAAGUGCAUCGUGAUUGGGAUAGAUGAUUGCAAUUCUUCAUCUUCAACGAGGAAUGCCUAGUAAACGCAAGUCAUCAGCUUGCAUUGAUUACGUCCCUGCCCUUUGUACACACCGCCCGUCGCUCCUACCGAUUGAAUGGUCCGGUGAAGCCUCGGGAUUGUGGCCAGUUCACUUUAUUGGGAGUUGGCUGUGAGAACUUGUCUAAACCUUAUCAUUUAGAGGAAGGUGAAGUCGUAACA